AAGAAAGUGACAGAGUGGUUAUGUGGUUGGCUUGAAACCGGCAGAAGGGGGUUCAACUCCCUCCUUUCUUG
rnacentral:tRNA from 1 species